rnacentral:snoRNA from 1 species
AGAACAAAGUCUUUUAGAAUGCAGUUUCUCAUUUGCUGUGGACAUGACCAUAAAAAAAUUUCCCAGUAGGUUUUCUAUCUGCUACUUUGCUAUCAAUCAGCUUAUUGGGAACAGUU